GUGGGUAGCGGUGAAAUUCCAAUCGAGCCCGGAGAUAGCUGGUUCUCCCCGAAAUAGCUUUAGGGCUAGCCUCAAGGUGAGAGAUACGGAGGUAGAGCACUGAAUGUCCUAGGGGGUAUUGCACCUACCGAAGACUAUCAAACUCCGAAUGCCGUCAUCUUAUACUUGGGAGUCAGACUGUGGGUGAUAAGAUUCAUAGUCGAAAGGGCAACAGCCCAGAUCGUCAGCUAAGGUCCCUAAAUGUAAGUUAAGUGGUAAAGGAUGUGGGAUUGCACAGACAACCAGGAUGUUGGCUUAGAAGCAGCCACUCAUUCAAAGAGUGCGUAAUAGCUCACUGGUCGAGUGAUCCUGCGCCGAAGAUUUCCGGGGCUAAAACUUACUACCGAAGCUACGGCAUCAGUAAUGAUGGGUAGGGGAGCUUCCCAUACGGGUUGAAGCAUGACCGUAAGGACAUGUGGACAGGAUGGGAGUGAGAAUGUUGGCAUGAGUAGCGAGAUGUGGGUGAGAAUCCCACAGGCCGUAAACCCAAGGUUUCCAGGGGAAGGUUCGUCCGCCCUGGG
rnacentral:rRNA from 1 species